rnacentral:rRNA from 1 species
UACGGAGGGUGCAAGCGUUAUCCGGAUUUACUGGGUUUAAAGGGUGUGUAGGCGGGUCUUUAAGUCAGUGGUGAAAUCUCCGAGCUCAACUUGGAAACUGCCAUUGAUACUAUUGAUCUUGAAUUUUGUUGAGGUAGGCGGAAUAAGUCAUGUAGCGGUGAAAUGCAUAGAUAUGACUUAGAACACCAAUUGCGAAGGCAGCUUGCUAAACAAAUAUUGACGCUGAGGCACGAAAGCGUGGGGAGUCAAACAGGA